UGCGCAGGCGGGGCAAUAAGUCAGUGGUGAAAUCCUGCGGCUUAACCGUAGAACUGCCAUUGAUACUGUUGCCCUUGAGUAUAGUUGAGGUGGGCGGGAUAUGUAAUGUAGCGGUGAAAUGCAUAGAUAUUACAUAGAACACCAAUUGCGAAGGCAGCUCACUAAGCUAUCACUGACGCUGAGGCACGAAAGCGUGGGGAGCGAACAGGAUUAGAUACCCUGGUAGUCC
rnacentral:rRNA from 1 species